rnacentral:sRNA from 1 species
AAGGCUGCAGUCUCCCGAGGGGAUUCAGAAAGCCCCCAGUUAUUGAAAACCCAGCAGAACUGUCAGCCCCGCACCCCCAAGCCCUCUUGGAGGGAGGGUUGCCCUGGCAGAGCACUGAGCCCAUCUGUUUAUUCACCAUCCUGUGGAUUCAGCUUCACAGGGUGACAUAUUCUGUCACAGGUGGUUCCACGAGUGUUUGGGCGCAUGGUGGGUAAAAGCCGGGAGGCGGUGGCCCAGGCCAUGGUGCUGGAGAUGUUUCGAGAGGAGGACUACUACAACGAUGAUGUUCUGGACCAGAUGGGCGCCAGUAUCCUGGGCGUGGAGGGCCCCCGGCGCCACCCAGAUGAGCCCCCUGAGGAUGAAGUCUUCGAGCUCUUCCCCAUGUUCAUAGGGGGGCUUCUCUCUGCCCACAACCGAGCUGUGCUAGCUCAGCUUGGCUGCCCCAUCAAGAACCUGGAUGCCCUGGAGAAUGCCCAGGCCAUCAAGAAGAAGCUGGGCAAGCUGGGUCGGCAGGUGCUGCCCCCCUCGGAGCUCCUUGACCACCUCUUCUUCCACUAUGAGUUCCAGAACCAGCGCUUCUCCGCCGAGGUGCUCAGCUCCCUGCGUCAGCUCAACCUGGCAGGUGUGCGCAUGACGCCUGUCAAGUGCACAGUGGUGGCAGCUGUGCUGGGCAGCGGAAGGCAUGC